AUUUACUUAGCACUUGUUCCAUGGCUAGACCUUGCGGUAGGACGCGUGACAUGUUGGUAAUCAAGAUGGACGCAUAUGUUCACCGCCUGCGCCCUGUGAGUUCAUUAACUUAAUUAGCCUCCCAACCAGCCCGUGACGUGGGAAGCAUCCCCGUCUCCUACGUGAGAUUUGUCUGUGCUCAGACAGCAGGUGUGUGAAGGGGACGGGACCCACUGCAACCGGACUCCCUUCUCCUCUCCCCCACAAGCUCAUCACCCAGCAGGGAACACACGCAUUGCCCCUCAUGAUCUACCCUGACUUUGGCGGAACCCAAAUAUGAGGCCACGACUUCUAAAGGUAAACAAGUCACCCACUAACUUCAAGAGACAAAGGAGCCCGGGAAGGAAUGGCCGGUGUCCUGGGGAAAUGGAUGGAUGCUCCGUGAUGCGUCCGCCCUCCUGAGAUCGGCGCUCCCGGGCUCCUGGAGUCUUGUGUGGGGCUUGGCUGUGAUACACAUUCUGUAAAUAAGGAUCAAAAGGACAAGAUUUGUAGUUUCCUGGUGAUGGAGAGAUUCAACUUGGGACUCUGUGAAGGGACCUUCUGCAGCUUUAUUUCUCUCUGCCUUUCCCACCCACUUCUCCCGCGCCUGGAGGGAAGGAUGGUGUCACAGAAGCAGCAGCAGUGAUGCCCGGCACCUGCCUGCGUGCCGGUUCCUGGGCUUGGUCCCUGCAGACACGGACUGUCCCAUCACGCCAUGGGUCUGCUAAGAUUUGUCGUCCAUUGAAAGGGGAGGCAGCUUUGGAAACCUGAGUGUCAUGCCCACGACUCCUGCAAGAUGCUCUAAAGAAAACCUGGCACACACCUGUUGCUACCCAGAGGAGACGGUGGUGGGGCCAUCCUGGGUCCUUGUCUGGCUUCCUGCUGGGGAGCAGCAGCGGGAGGUGGCACCGGCACCUGCCCCGUCAGGGAUCUGGGCGGAGGACGACGGCUGCCUCAUUUCUCCACUGGAGCAGGGCUGCUGGGGUGGGGGGGGCAGUCAACGUGCUGUGUAGACAUGCUGACCUUGGAGCCUGUGGUUUGCGGCAGUGGAG
rnacentral:lncRNA from 12 species